UACGGGGGGGGCAAGCGUUGUUCGGAAUUACUGGGCGUAAAGCGCGCGUAGGCGGACCUGCAAGUCGGGGGUGAAAGCCCGAGGCUCAACCUCGGAACUGCCUUCGAUACUGCGGGUCUCGAGUCCGGGAGAGGUGAGUGGAAUUCCUAGUGUAGAGGUGAAAUUCGUAGAUAUUAGGAAGAACACCAGUGGCGAAGGCGGCUCACUGGCCCGGUGCUGACGCUGAGGCGCGAAAGCGUGGGGAGCAAACAGG
rnacentral:rRNA from 1 species